GACGAACGCUGGCGGCGUGCUUAACACAUGCAAGUCGAACGGUGAAGCGCCUUCCUUUUUGGUGGGUGUGGAUGAGUGGCGAACGGGUGAGUAACACGUAAGUAACCUGCCCCCUUCUUCUGGAUAACCGCAUGAAAGUGUGGCUAAUACGGGAUAUUCUGGGUCUGUCGCAUGAUGGGUCUGGGAAAGAUAUUGUUUCGGUGGGGGAUGGGCUCGCGGCCUAUCAGCUUGUUGGUGGGGUGAUGGCCUACCAAGGCGGUGACGGGUAGCCGGCCUGAGAGGGUGGACGGUCACACUGGGACUGAGACACGGCCCAGACUCCUACGAGAGGCAGCAGUGGGGAAUAUUGCACAAUGGGCGCAAGCCUGAUGCAGCGACGCCGCGUGAGGGAUGGAGGCCUUCGGGUUGUGAACCUCUUUCGCCAGUGAAGCAGGCCUGCCUCGUUUGUGGGUGGGUUGACGGUAGCUGGAUAAGAAGCGCCGGCUAACUACGUG
rnacentral:rRNA from 1 species